rnacentral:lncRNA from 1 species
GUAGAGGUGGUUGCAAUGAUGAUCUCUUUUAGGUUUCGUUUGGUUCGAGUGUAAGCAAGAACUAGUUAUUACAGGGAUAGGUACAAGUAUGGGGAUAUAAAAAAUAGCAUAUGGAUGAAAAUUAGGUUGUUCCGAGGGAUAAAAAAAAUAGCGUUUGGAUAAAUAAUCUGGAAUAAGAAAAAUAGUGGGUAGUUAUAUAUAGAAAAUGGAAAUAGUGGUGGGUAUAGUUAUACCAGCUUAUUUUAGGUAUCCGAGAAUUACUAUUCUUAGAUAAAAAAAUUUGUGUUUGGAUAUAAAGAGGGGAUAAGGGGUUAUCCCUUCCUUUAUCCCUAAUCCAAACGGUGCCUAAAGCGCUGGCAUAGACGAUGCCGAUCUUGCUUGA